UACGAAGGGGGCUAGCGUUGUUCGGAUUUACUGGGCGUAAAGCGCACGUAGGCGGAUUGUUAAGUCAGGGGUGAAAUCCUGGAGCUCAACUCCAGAACUGCCUUUGAUACUGAAGAUCUUGAGUUCGGGAGAGGUGAGUGGAACUGCGAGUGUAGAGGUGAAAUUCGUAGAUAUUCGCAAGAACACCAGUGGCGAAGGCGGCUCACUGGCCCGAUACUGACGCUGAGGCACGAAAGCGUGGGGAGCAAACGGG
rnacentral:rRNA from 1 species